UACAGAGGUGCCGAGCGUUAGGCGGAAUCACUGGGCUUAAAGCGUGUGUAGGCGGACUUCUAAGUACCUUGUGAAAUCCCACGGCUCACCCGUGGAACUGCUGGGUAUACUGGUCGUCUUGAGCCACCUAGGGGCGAGCGGAACAAAUGGUGGAGCGGUGAAAUGCGUAGAUAUCAUUUGGAACGCCAACGGUGAAAACAGCUCGCUGGGGGUGUGCUGACGCUGAGACACGAAAGCCAGGGUAGCGAGCGGG
rnacentral:rRNA from 1 species